AUCAGUUCGAAAGGACUGCCAAUACCCCAUGAAGUCCAAUGGAUUAGAAGCCAUAGGACAAAAGGAGAAAUCCGCUUUGGGAGGGGCCUGCGUCCCAUCAGCUAGUUGGUAGGGUAAGAGCCUACCAAGGCGAUGACGGGUAGGGGACCUGAGAGGGUGGCCCCCCACACUGGAACUGAAACACGGUCCAGACACCUACGGGUGGCAGCAGUAGGGAAUAUUGCUUAAUGGGCGAAAGCCUGAAGCAGCAACGCCGCGUGUGCGAUGAAGGCCUUCGGGUUGUAAAGCACUUUUUGGAGAGAUGAGGAAGGACAGUACCUUCAGAAUAAGCCUCGGCUAACUACGUGCCAGCAGCCGCGGUAAAACGUAGGAGGCGAGCGUUAUCCGGAUUUACUGGGCGUAAAGCACGUGUAGGCGGCUUGACAAGUUGGAUGUGAAAGCUCCCGGCUUAACUGGGAGAGGUCGUUCAAAACUGUUGGGCUAGAGUGUGAGAGAGGGAGGUGGUAUUCCAGGUGUAGUGGUGAAAUGCGUAGAUAUCUGGAGGAACACCAGUGGCGAAAGCGGCCUCCUGGCUCAAGACUGACGCUCAGACGCGAAAGCUAGGGUAGCAAACGGGAUUAGAGACCCCGGUAGUCCUAGCUGUAAACGAUG
rnacentral:rRNA from 1 species